rnacentral:rRNA from 1 species
GAGGAAAGCGGCGGACGGGUGAGUAACGCGUGGGCAACCUGCCCUAUACAAAGGGAUAGCCACUGGAAACGGUGAUUAAUACCUUAUAAAGCUACGAAGACACAUGUCUUUGUAGCCAAAGCUCCGGCGGUAUAGGAUGGGCCCGCGUUUGAUUAGCUAGUUGGUAAGGUAAAAGCUUACCAAGGCGACAAUCAAUAGCUGAUUUGAGAGGAUGAUCAGCCACACUGGGACUGAGAUACGGCCCAGACUCC